rnacentral:snRNA from 1 species
GUGCUCACUUCGGCAGCACAUAUACUAAAAUUGGAACGAUACAGAGAAGAUUAGUAUGGCCCCUGUGCAAGGAUGACACGCAAAUUCGUGAAGUGUUUCUCUUGGAA